CAACAGUGAAGGAUUUUUAUUUACCAAAGAAGACAAACUCUGGGGUCUGCUUCAUCAGACAUAUUCGUCUAUUUUCAUCUUUAAUUGACCAAAAUUACAUCCAGAAAGUAAGAGUCUCUUAGUAACGUCUCUUUUAAUACGAUUCAGUCCAGGCAAGCCCUGCUCUGCCUGAUGUCUCGCCUGAGUGCUUACAGAUAAAACAAAUCAUGACUGGUUAUUUGUUUACUUGUCUGUUUGUUUGUUUUCUCUGCUUUAUUCCAGCACUGUAGCAGCCGGCUGAUGUUAGCUGCAUGAAAAUGAAUUUUGAGCUGCAGCUGAAGAAAAGUGGCUUGUUGAGCCAAAUUCCGUUCAGAUGUUUCAGCAGAGGAAUGAACAUUAGUGGUAAUGUUUGCAUUAUAUCCUGGACAUGUCCUGCUCCAAACCCUCAUAUGGUACAACACAAGGCAAGGCAGGUUUAUUUGUAUGGAACCGUUCAUAAACAAGGCGAAUCAAAGUGCUUUACAAAUGCAAGGGAAUACAAGAAAGAUCUGAAAAAGGAGAGAUCAAAACAAUUUCACAUCAAAAAGACAAAACGAUUUUAAAAAACAUUGUUUCCUAGAAAAACAAAAUAUGUCACGAACUUUCAGACCCGGGGCUUCACAGAUGGUAAUAGGUUUUCUCUUUGUCUAUCUCGAAAAGUAUUAGUUAUACUAGUUUUCUCUUCCGCUAUCUUGGACGGUCCAGGUUUUCUCUUCUUUUAUCUCAGAUAGGACUAGUUUUCUCUUUGUCUAUCUCGAACAGUAUUGGUUUUCUCUUUGUCUGUCUCAGAAGGUAUUAGUUUUCUCUAUGUCUAUCUUGGAUGGUAGUAGUUGUACUAGUUUUCUCUUCGUCUUUCUUGGAUGGGACUAGUUUUCUCUUGUCUAUCUCGGAAAGUAUUAAUUUUCUCUUUCUAUCACAGACGGUGUUAGUUUCCUCUUUGUCUAUCUCAGACUGUAUUGGUUUUCUCUUCGUCUAUCUCGGAUAGUAUUGGUUAUACUAGUUCUAUCUUCGUCUAUCAACGACGUUAUUAGUUGUACUAGAUUUCUUGUCAUCUGUCUCCGACGGUAUUAGUUGUACUAGUGGUUUUUCAUCCAAUUUGGACGGUAUUAGUUUUCUUUCGUCUAUCUCAGACGGUAUUAGUUGUACUAGUUUUCUCUUCUUCUAUCUUGGAUGAUAUUAGUUUUCUCUUCGUCUAUCUCGGACUGUAUUAGUUUUCUCUUCGUCUCUCUUCAGCGGUAUUGGUUGUACUAGUUCUAUCUUCGUCUAUCAAUGACGUUAUUAGUUGUAUGAGUUUUCUUUUCGUCUAUCUCAGACGUAUUGGUUGUACUGGUUUUCUCUUUGUCUAUUUGAAUGGCAUUAGUUUUCUCUUCAUCCAUCUUGGAUGGUAUUAGUUGUAUUAGAUUUAUCUUUGUCUAUCUUGGAUGGUUUUAGUUUUCUCUCCAUCUAUCUCAAACAGUAUUGGUUUUAUCUUCAUCUAUCUUGGAUGGUAGUAGUUGUACUAGUACUUUCUCUUCGUCUAUCUCAGAGGGUGUUAGUUUUCUCUUCGUCUAUCUUGGACUGUAUUACUUUUCUCUUCUCUUAUCUCGGACGGUAAAUGGUUUGCAGCUACCACCUGUAAAACCACACCAUGUUAGGUUUUGUCUUUCUAACCUCCUCUCCUAUCCACCUGUUGUCUGUCCCAUUUGCACAACAGCAGGUGAAAUUGAUUCACAGUCGUUUUUACUUCCUGACUGGACGGC